rnacentral:rRNA from 1 species
AACGAACGCUGGCGGCAUGCCUAACACAUGCAAGUCGUACGAGAUCUUCGGGUCUAGUGGCGCACGGGUGCGUAACGCGUGGGAAUCUGCCCUUUGGUUCGGAAUAACAGGUGGAAACGACUGCUAAUACCGGAUGAUGACGAAAGUCCAAAGAUUUAUCGCCAGAGGAUGAGCCCGCGAAGGAUUAGGUAGUUGGUGUGGUAAAGGCGCACCAAGGCGACGAUCCUUAGAUGGUCUGAGAGGAUGAUCAGCCACACUGGGACUGAGAAACGGCCAAGACUCCUACGGGAGGCAGCAGUGGGGAAUAUUGGACAAUGGGCGAAAGCCUGAUCCAGCAAUGCCGCGUGAGUGAUGAAGGCCUUAGGUUUAUAAAGCUCUUUUACCCGGGACGAUAAUGACAGUACCGGGAGAAUAAGCUCCGGCUAACUCCGUGCCAGCCGCCGCCGUAAUAC